ensembl:lncRNA
AUGGAUGGAGGGAUGGAUGGAUGGACAGACGGACAUGAGGCCUUUGGUGCCCCCAAUGGCGGGGUUGGGUGGUGGUUGGGUUGGCCAACGCUCUACUGGAGCGUCAGCCUUGGAGAGUAGAUCUGCUUCAUCUGCCUCUCAUUGGGUGGUGGGUGGAGGGAUGGAUGGACGGACAGAUGGACAGAUGGAUGGAGGGAUGGAGGGUUGGAUGGACAGACGGACACGAGGCCCUCGGUGACCCCAAUAGGGUUGGGUGGUGGUUGGGUGGUGGUUGGGGUUGGUCAACGCUCUACCGGAGCGUCAGCCUUGGAGAGUACAUCGGCUUCGUCUGCCUCUCAUUGGGUGGUGGGUGGGGGGUGGACGGACAGAUGGAUGGAUGGAUGGAUGGAGGGAGGGAGGGAUGGAUGGACAGACGGACGUGAGGCCCUCGGUGACCCCAAUGGGGGUGGAGGGGGGUUGGGUGGUGGUUGGGUUGGCCAGCGCUCUACCGGAGCGUCAGCCUUUGAGAGUACAUCGGCUUCGUCUGCCUCUCAUUGGGUGGUGGGUGGGGGGUGGACGGACAGACGGAUGGAUGGAGGGAUGGAUGGAGGGAGGGAGGGAUGGACAGACGGACAUGAGGCCCUCGGUGACCCCAAUAGGGUUGGGUGGUGGUUGGGUGGUGGUUGGGUUGGCCAACGCUCUACCGGAGCGUCAGCCUUGGAGAGUACAUCGGCUUCGUCUGCCUCUCAUUGGGUGGUGGGUGGAGGGAUGGAUGGACGGACAGAUGGACGGAUGGAUGGAGGGAUGGAUGGAGAGAGGGAGGGAUGGACAGACGGACACGAGGCCUUUGGUGCCCCCAGUGGGGGUGGAGGGGGGGUUGGGUGGUUGUUGGGUCAUGGAUGGAGGGAUGGAUGGAGGGGAAGGAUGGAUGGAGGGAUGGAUGGAUGGAUGGAUGGAUGGACAUGAGGCCUUCGGUGCCCCCAAUGGGGGUGGAGGGGGGGUUGGGUGGUGGUUGGGUCAUGGAUGGAGGGAUGGAGGGGUGGAUGGAUGGAGGAAUGGAAGGAUGGAUGGAGGGAUGGAGGGGAAGGAGGGCUGGAUGGAUGGACAGGUGGAUGGAUGGACAGACGGACACGAGGCCCUCGGUGAUCCCAAUGGGGGCGGAGGGGGGGGGUUGGGUGGUGGUUGCAUCAUGAAUGGAUGGAGGGAUGGGGGGAUGGAGGGAUGGAUGCAUGGAUGGAUGAAUGGACAGAUGGAUGGACAGAUGGACAGGUGGAGGGAUGGACAGACGGACACGAGGCCCUCGGUGCCCUCAAUGGGGGAGGAAGGUUGGCCAACGCUCUACGGGCGGUGUUGGAGUUCCGGUAGGCCUAAAAUGGGGUGAAAAAGGCCAAAAUUGGGGGCUUUUGGGGUGGGUUUGGCACCAAAACGACGUCGGUUGGGUGUCGUGGUCUCUUCCGUGGCCAAAAUGGGGCAAAAAAACCCAAAUUUGGGCACUUUUGAGGUGUGUUUGCCACCAAAAUGAUGUCGGUUGGGUCUUCCUUCUUCCCGUUGGCCAAAAUGGGGUGAAAAGACCCAAAAUUGGUUGCUUUUGAGGUGUGUUUGCCACCAAAAUGGUGUCGGUUGGGUGUCAUGGCCUUUUCCAUAACCAAAAUGGGGUGAAGAGACCCAAAAUAGGGCACUUUUGGGGUUUGUUUUCCCCCCAAACACCACCAGUUGGAUCUCCCUUCUUCCCGUUGGCCAAAAUGGGUCAAAAAACCCCAAAAUUGGGCACUUUUGGGGUGUGUUUUCCUCCCAAAUCACCACCAGUUGGGUUUCCAACACCACCAGUUGGGUCUACCAUCUUUCAUUGGCCAAAAUGGGUCAAAAAACCCCAAAUUUGGGGACUUUUGGGGUGUGUUUUCCCCCCAAAUACCACCAGUUGGGUCUCCCUUCUUCCCGUUGGCCAAAAUGUGUCAAAAAAACCCCAAAUUGGGCACUUUUGAGGUGUUUUCCCCCCCAAACCCCACACAUUGGAUCUCCCAACACAACCGGUUGGGUCUACCAUCUUUCGUUGGCCAAAAUGGGUCAAAAAACCCCAAAUUUGGGCACUUUUGAGGUGUGUUUUCCCCCCAAAGCCCACACAUUGGAUCUCCCAACACCACCAGUUUGGUCUCCCUACUUCCAAUUGGCCAAAAUGAGUCCAAAAACCCCAAAUUUGGGCACUUCUGAGGUGUGUUUUCCCCCCAAAUACCACCAGUUGGGUCUACUUUCUUCCCGUUGGCCAAAAUGGGUCAAAAAAUCCCAAAAUAGGGCACUUUUGGGGUGUGUUUUCCCCCCAAACACGACCAGUUGGGUCUCCCAUCUUCUUGUUGGCCAAAAUGGGUCAAAAAGCCCUAAAUUUGGGCACUUUUAAGGAUGUGUUUUCCCCCCAAACCCCAAACAUUGGAUCUGCCAACACAACCGGAUGGGUCUACCAUCUUUCAUUGGCCAAAAUGGGUCCAAAAACCCCAAAUUUGGGCACUUUUGAGGGGUGUUUUCCCCCCAAACACCACCAGUUGGGUCUCCCUUCUUCCCGUUGGCCAAAAUGGGUCCAAAAACCCCAAAAUUGGGCACUUUUGAGGUGUGUUUUCCCCCCAAAUCACCACCAGUUGGGUCUCCCUACUUCCCGUUGGCCAAAAUAGGUCAAAAAAACCCCAAAUUGGGCACUUUUGGGGUGUUUUCCCCCCCAAACCCCACACAUUGGAUCUCCCAACACCACCAGUUGGCUCUACCAUCUUUCAUUGGCCAAAAUGGGUCAAAAAACCCCAAAAUUGGGCACUUUUGGGGUGUGUUUUCACCCCACAUGACUACCAGUUGGGUCUCCCUUCUUCCCGUUGGCCAAAAUGGGUCCAAAAACCCCAAAUUUGGGCACUUUUGGGGUGUAUUUCCCUCCCAAAUCACCACCAGUUGGCUCUACCAUCUUUCAUUGGCCAAAAUGGAUCAAAAAAACCCCAAAUUGGGCACUUUUGAGGUGAGUUUCCCUUCCAAACACCACCAGUUGGGUCUCCCUUCUUCCCGUUGGCCAAAAUGGGUCAAAAAACCCCAAAAUUGGGCACUUUUGGGGUGUGUUUUCCUCCCAAAUCACCACCAGUUGGGUUUCCACCACCACCAGUUGGGUCUACCAUCUUUCAUUGGCCAAAAUGGAUCCAAAAACCCCAAAUUGGGGGACUUUUGGGGUGUGUUUUCCCCCCAAAUACCACCAGUUGGGUCUCCCUUCUUCCCGUUGGCCAAAAUGGGUCAAAAAACCCCAAGAUUGGGCACUUUUGAGGUGUAUUUCCCCCCAAACCCCAAACAUUGGAUCUCCCAACACCACCAGUUGGGUCUCCCAUCUUUCAUUGGCCAAAAUGGGUCCAAAAACCCCAAAUUGGGGCACUUUUGAGGUGUGUUUUCCCCCCUACCACCACCACUUGGGUCUACUUUCUUCCCAUUGGCCAAAAUGGGUCCAAAAACCCCAAAUUGGGGCACUUUUGAGGGGUGUUUUCCCCCCAAAUCACCACCAGUUGGGUCUCCCAUCUUUCAUUGGCCAAAAUGGGUCAAAAAACCCCAAAUUGGGCACUUUUGAGGUGAGUUUCCCUUCCAAACACCACCAGUUGGGUCUCCCUUCUUCCUGUUGGCCUAAAAUGGGUCAAAAAACCCCAAAUUUGGGCACUUUUGGGGUGUAUUUCCCUCCAAACACCACCAGUUGGGUCUACUUUCUUCCCGUUGGCCAAAAUGGGUCAAAAAACCCCAAAAUUGGGCACUUUUGAGGUGUGUUUUCCCCCCAAAGCCCACACAUUGGAUCUCCCAACACCACCAGUUUGGUCUCCCUACUUCCAAUUGGCCAAAAUGAGUCCAAAAACCCCAAAUUUGGGCACUUCUGAGGUGUGUUUUCCCCCCAAAUACCACCAGUUGGGUCUACUUUCUUCCCGUUGGCCAAAAUGGGUCAAAAAAUCCCAAAAUUGGGCACUUUUGGGGUGUGUUUUCCCCCCAAACACGACCAGUUGGGUCUCCCAUCUUCUUGUUGGCCAAAAUGGGUCAAAAAGCCCUAAAUUUGGGCACUUUUAAGGAUGUGUUUUCCCCCCAAACCCCAAACAUUGGAUCUCCCAACACAACCGGAUGGGUCUACCAUCUUUCAUUGGCCAAAAUGGGUCCAAAAACCCCAAAUUUGGGCACUUUUGAGGGGUGUUUUCCCCCCAAACACCACCAGUUGGGUCUCCCUUCUUCCCGUUGGCCAAAAUGGGUCCAAAAACCCCAAAAUUGGGCACUUUUGGGGUGUGUUUUCCUCCCAAAUCACCACCAGUUGGGUUUCCAACACCACCAGUUGGGUCUACCAUCUUUCAUUGGCCAAAAUGGGUCCAAAAACCCCAAAUUUGGGGACUUUUGGGGUGUGUUUUCCCCCCAAACACCACCAGUUGGGUCUCCCUUCUUCCCGUUGGCCAAAAUGUGUCAAAAAACCCCAAAUUUGGCACUUUUGAGGUGUUUUCCCCCCCAAACCCCACACAUUGGAUCUCCCAACACCACCGGUUGGGUCUCCCAUCUUUCAUUGGCCAAAAUGGGUCCAAAAACCCCAAAUUUAGGCACUUUUGAGGUAUGUUUUCCCCCCAAAUCACCACCGGUUGGGUCUCCCAUCUUUCAUUGGCCAAAAUGGGUCCAAAAACCCCAAAAUUGGGCACUUUUGCGGUGUGUUUUCCCCCCACAUGACUACCAGUUGGGUCUCCCUUCUUCCCGUUGGCCAAAAUGGGUCCAAAAACCCCAAAUUUGGGCACUUUUGGGGUGUGUUUUCCCCCCAAACCCCAAACAUUGGAUCUCCCAACACAACCGGAUGGGUCUACCAUCUUUCAUUGGCCAAAAUGGGUCCAAAAACCCCAAGUUUAGGCACUUUUGGGGUAUCUUUUCCCCCCAAAUCACUACCAGUUGGGUCUCCCAUCUUCCCGUUGGCCAAAAUGGGUCCAAAAACCCCAAAUUUGGGCACUUUUGGGGUGUGUUUUCCCCCCAAACCCCAAACAUUGGAUCUCCCAACACAACCGGAUGGGUCUACCAUCUUUCAUUGGCCAAAAUGGGUCCAAAAACCCCAAAUUUGGGCACUUUUGAGGGGUGUUUUCCCCCCAAACACCACCAGUUGGGUCUCCCUUCUUCCCGUUGGCCAAAAUGGGUCCAAAAACCCCAAAAUUGGGCACUUUUGAGGUGUGUUUUCCCCCCAAAUCACCACCAGUUGGGUCUCCCUACUUCCCGUUGGCCAAAAUAGGUCAAAAAAACCCCAAAUUGGGCACUUUUGGGGUGUUUUCCCCCCCAAACCCCACACAUUGGAUCUCCCAACACCACCAGUUGGCUCUACCAUCUUUCAUUGCCCAAAAUGGGUCAAAAAACCCCAAAUUUGGGCACUUUUGGGGUGUUUUCCCCCCCAAACCCCAAACAUUGGAUCUCCCAACACCACCAGUUGGGUCUACCAUCUUUCAUUGGCCAAAAUGGGUCAAAAAACCCCAAAAUUGGGCACUUUCGAGGUGUGUUUUCCCCCCAAACCCCACACAUUGGAUCUCCCAACACAACUGGUUGGCUCUACCAUCUUUCAUUGGCCAAAAUGGGUCCAAAAACCCCAAAUUGGGGCACUUUUGAGGUGUGUUUUCCCCCCAAAUCACCACCAGUUGGGUCUCCCAUCUUUCAUUGGCCAAAAUGGGUCCAAAAACCCCAAAUUUGGGCACUUUUGAGGUGCGUUUUCCCCCCAAAUCACCACCAGUUGGGUCUCCCAUCUUUCAUUGGCCAAAAUGGGUCAAAAAACCCCAAAAUUGGGCACUUUUGGGGUGUUUUCCCCCCCCAAAGUCCCCCCACCCGGUUGGGGGCAGCCAUGAGAACCGCUUGGGUUGGAGCCGCCCCAUUCAACCCCAUUAUGGGGUUGGGGGGGGUCUCAAUUCUGUGCCCCCCACCCCAAUAUAUCCCCUAUAUCCUCCCCCCCCCCCUCCCCCCAACCCCAAACCUGAGGAUUUUGGGGGUAUUUUGGGGGUCAUUUUGAGGGUUUUCUGCCCCGGAAUGAACUCCGGAUUUAACUUAAAUUAAAACUUCUAUUCUCAAUUUCACAUUGACCCCAAAUUGCCUUUUCUUCACCCAUUUCUGAGUCUGAAAAGUGGUGGUUUUUGUUCACCGAACCCACUGUUUUAAUGCCUCAAACCCCCAUUUUUCACCCCAAAAUCCCCUCUAAACCCCCAUUUUUCACCCCCCAUCCCCUCAAAAACUCCCCAAACCCCCAUUUUUCACCCCAAAAUCCCCUCAAAAGCCCCAUUUUCCACCCCAAAACCACCCCAAAAUCCCCUCCAAACCCCCACAGCCCCCAUUUUCCACCCCAAAACCCCCCCAAACCGCCAUUUUCCUACCCCAGAAUCCCCAUUUUCCACCCCAAAACCACCCCAAAAUCCCCUCUAAACCCUCAAACCCCCCAAUUUCCACCCCAAACCCCCAUUUUUCACCCCAAAACCUCCCCCGAACCCCCCAUUUCCCACCCAAAAAUCCCCCAAACCCCAAUUUCUACCCCAAAACCCCCCACAACCCACCCAUUUUCCACCCCAAAACCACCCCAAAAUCCCUUCCAAACCCUCAACCCCCCCAAUUUCCACCCCAAACCCCCCUUUUCCACCCCAAAAUCCCCUCCAAACCCCCAACCCCCCCAUUUUUCUACCCCAAACCCCCAUUUUCCACCCCAAAAUCCCCCCAACCCCCCCAUUUUCCACCCCAAAACCACCCCAAAAUCCCUUCCAAACCCUCAACCCCCCCAUUUUCCACCCCAAACCCCCCCCAAACCGCCAUUUUCCUACCCCAGAAUCCCCAUUUUCCACCCCAAAACCACCCCAAAAUCCCCUCUAAACCCUCAAACCCCCCAAUUUCCACCCCAAACCCCCAUUUUUCACCCCAAAACCUCCCCCGAACCCCCCAUUUCCCACCCAAAAAUCCCCCAAACCCCAAUUUCUACCACAAAACCCCCCACAACCCACCCAUUUUCCACCCCAAAACCACCCCAAAAUCCCCUCCAAACCCCCAUAGCCCCCAAUUUCCACCCCAAACCCCCCUUUUCCACCCCAAAAUCCCCUCCAAACCCCCAACUCCCCCAUUUUUCUACCCCAAACCCCCAUUUUCCACCCCAAAAUCUCCCCAACCCCCCCAUUUUCCACCCCAAAACCACCCCAAAAUCCCUUCCAAACCCUCAACCCCCCCAUUUUCCACCCCAAAAUCCCCCCCAAACCCCCAACCCCCCCAUUUUUCACCCCAAAACCACCCCAAAAUCCCCUCCAAACCCCCACAGCCCCCAUUUUCCACCCCAAAACCCCCCCAAACCGCCAUUUUCCUACCCCAAAAUCCCCAUUUUCCACCCCAAAACCACCCCAAAAUCCCCUCUAAACCCUCAAACCCCCCAAUUUCCACCCCAAACCCCCAUUUUUCACCCCAAAACCUCCCCCGAACCCCCCAUUUCCCACCCAAAAAUCCCCCAAACCCCAAUUUCUACCCCAAAACCCCCCACAACCCACCCAUUUUCCACCCCAAAACCACCCCAAAAUCCCCUCCAAACCCCCAUACCCCCCAAUUUCCACCCCAAACCCCCAUUUCCCCCCCAAACCCCCCAAAACCCCCCCCCAAAAAGACCCCCACAGCGCUUCAGG